CUGAAACAGCAUUUGCCUUCUUUCAUCAGAUUGCAGAUUGUGUGCAUGCUAACUGUACAGUUAGUAAUGUGAAAUGGUCAGACAGAUCUUUUUUCUGAGCUACGAUGUGGACCAAAGAAGAAAAGACAAGAAUAGAGAAAUGAAAAUACCAGGCUAGACAAAUUCAAAGGGACUUUUGUACAAAUAGCUUUAUUGAUUGCCAAAAAGCAAAUGAACUGGAGAGCAGAAUUCCCUCCACCAAAUGACAAAUGUGUUAUAAAUCACAAAGACAUUCUUCAACUUGAAAGACUGCAUUGUACCUCCUGGAAAACAUAAGAGAACAUUUUCUGGACUAUUUUUUCCAGUAGCAUGCUAUUUAGCAACAAGAAGAUUCUCAUCCAUAACGCUUUUAGAACAAACUUAAAAAUUCCUUUAUUAUGAUUGCAAUGGUAUCUCUUUUCUCCUUAUUUUCCAGUGGUGAGAAUUAGUAUUGUUUCAUAAAGAUUACUGCAUCACUGUC
rnacentral:lncRNA from 1 species